ACGCUCUCCUGGAUCUUCGUUGGAGGAACCCUCUUCCAUGCUGUCUGGCUUGGGCUGGUGCCUAUCAUAAGAGGUGGGACCCUUCUAAGCUUUUCCAUUUCUGACCCUUCAAUGGGACAAAUAAUGAAGUUACCUGACCUUGGUCGUUACAAUAGAAAUGAAGGAAGCUGGGUGUGAUAUGCUGUGCAGAAGCCCAGGGACAUGAAAAUGCGGCCAAACCAGUCUGCUAAA